rnacentral:snRNA from 1 species
AUGCUUACCUGGCAGGGAGAUACCAUGGUCAUGAAGGUGGUUUUCCCAGGGUGAGACUUAUGCAUUGCACUCUGGAUGUGCUGACCCCUGUGAUUUCCCCAAAUGUGGGAAACUCAACUGCGUAAUUUGUGGUAGUGGGGGACUGUGUUCUCAUUCUCCCCUA